CCUACGGGAGGCAGCAGUAGGGAAUCUUCCACAAUGGGCGAAAGCCUGAUGGAGCAACGCCGCGUGGGUGAAGAAGGUCUUCGGAUCGUAAAACCCUGUUGUUAGAGAAGAAAGUGCGUGAGAGUAACUGUUCACGUUUCGACGUUAUCUAACCAGAAAGCCACGGCUAACUCCGGGCCAGCAGCCGCGGUAGUACGUAGGUGGCAAGCGUUAUCCGGAUGUGUUGGGCGUAAAGGGAACGCAGGUGGUCUUUUAAGUCUGAUGUGAAAGCGUUCGGCUCAACCGGAGUAGUGCAUUGGAUACUGGGAGACUUGAGUGCAGAAGAGGAGAGUGGAACUCCAGGUGUAGCGGUGAAAUGCGUAGAUAUAUGGAAGAACACCAGUGGCGAAGGCGGCUCUCUGGUCUGUAACUGACACUGAGGUUCGAAAGCGUGGGUAGCAAACAGGAUUAGAUACCCUGGUAGUC
rnacentral:rRNA from 1 species